rnacentral:snRNA from 1 species
GGACACACGGGCAGCUUGGCUGUGACUGCUGUUCUUCCAUCAACAGCCAGGGUAGAGCAGCCUGGUCUGACUUGCUAGGCAGGUGUCCUUCUUCUCCAGGAUUCUCCUGUAUUCUUCCAAAUCUGUGUCAUUGGUUGGAGUAGAUGGCCUUUCCAGGAGAAGGAAAGCCCUCUUGCAUUCACAGGUCUACACUAGCUGCAUUUCUCUGUUAGAUCCUUUCGUCAAACCCACUCCAGAUACUGAAAGUCUUUAGGUACAAAAUCCUGGUCUAUGACCUAAGAGAAGGGAGAUGCCCUUGAGUGCUU